rnacentral:rRNA from 1 species
AUGGCUCAGGAUGAACGCUAGCGACAGGCUAACACAUGCAAGUCGAGGGGCAGCGCGGGAGAAGCUUGCUUUCCUGGCGGCGACCGGCGCACGGGUGCGUAACAGGUGUGCAAUCUGUCCAUAGUCGGGGGAGUAGCCCAGCGAAAGCUGAAUUAACACUCCAUGUGAAUCGAAGCCGCAUGACUUUGAUUUGAAACGCAAGGACUAUGGGUGAGCACGCUUCUGAUUAGGUAGUUGGUGGGUAACGGCCCACCAAGCCGACGAUCAGUAGGGGUUCUGAGAGGAAGGUCCCCCACAUUGGAACUGAGACACGGUCCAAACUCCUACGGGAGGCAGCAGUGAGGAAUAUUGGUCAAUGGGCGAGAGCCUGAACCAGCCAAGUCGCGUGGAAAAGGAUGAAGGUUCUAUGGAUUGUAAACUUCUUUUGUCCGAGGGUAAAAAAGGCCACGUGUGGCUUCUUGCAAGUAUCGGACGAAUAAGCAUCGGCUAACUCCGUGCCAGCAGCUGC